rnacentral:rRNA from 1 species
GGGGGAAUAUUGGACAAUGGGCGCAAGCCUGAUCCAGCAACGCCGCGUGGAGGACGAAGGUCUUCGGAUCGUAAACUCCUGUCAGGCGGGACGAAGGCUUCCGGGCAAAUAGUCUGGAAGCUUGACGGUACUGCCAGAGGAAGCCCCGGCUAACUCCGUACCAGCAGCCGCGGUAAUACGGAGGGGGCUAGCGUUGUUCGGAAUUACUGGGCGUAAAGCGCACGUAGGCGGCUUUGUAAGUUAGAGGUGAAAGCCCGGAGCUCAACUCCGGAACUGCCUUUAAGACUGCAUCGCUUGAACGUCGGAGAGGUAAGUGGAAUUCCGAGUGUAGAGGUGAAAUUCGUAGAUAUUCGGAGGAACACCAGUGGCGAAGGCGGCUCACUGGUCCGGUACUGACGCUGAGGUGCGAAAGCGUGGGGAGCAAA